rnacentral:ribozyme from 1 species
GUUCGUAAGUUUGAAAUAUGUCAAAGAUUAGGCAAAGGGGCAUAUGGUAUU